GGGUUGCUGGGGUGAGGGUGGACAAGACGGCUAGUAGAAGAAAAAGUUUUAAAAAUACACUUAGCUUUCUGUUCCGGGCAGUGGUGGCGCACGCCUUUAAUCCCAGCACUUGGGAGGUUGAGUUCGAGGCCAGCCAGGUCUUAGAGAUAUCGUGAACAUCAGUGCAGCAGUUCUGGUCACCUGGAUUUAUAAACACCAAGAAGUAGCAACAGCCAGUGUGCAAGUCACUGACAACCCAAGUCACCAAAAAUCUUACUGAGAACCCAUUAGCUCCUUGAAUUAAAGAUUAUUUUGUGAAAAGAGGCUUGAUCGUCUUGUUCUGCACCUGAAAUAAAGCAUUUCCCAUUCUGUUGUUUUAAAAUAUUUACUCUGUAACAAGUGUACAUAAUUUUGUUUUUAUAAUAAAAAAGUAGUGAUACCAAAAUAUGGGACAA
ensembl:antisense 1810041H14Rik RIKEN cDNA 1810041H14 gene